CUACAUAUUAUGAACUGAAACGUUAUAUUAACUAAAACAAUCAUGCCAUUUGUUUCCCUGUAUCAGAGAUGUGUCCGUGAUAUUUAAAAAAAAAAAAAAGAGGUUGCUAAAGAGUCAUUUGCACCUGUGGUGUGACCUACAAAUGAGUUCUGUAGGGCACGAAUAUAUGAGCAUUACAGCUAAUUAUCCUGAUGAUUAUUCAUUAAUGCCUGUGUCUUGCAACAAGGGAUAUUGCAAAAUAAUGCAAGUUAUUUUAAACAUUGUAUCUUUACUUAAUAGAAUCUUGCUAGUUAAAAAUCG